UAUUGUGGAGGCUAUGAGGUUCGCCUUGGAUAUUUCUGAAACUGCCUUAAUGGGCUGAGAACCUCUACCGUGAA
rnacentral:ncRNA from 2 species